rnacentral:sRNA from 1 species
GGAUAGCUCCAAUAAUCCGUUAAUAGUGCUUUUUAGCAGUCAAAUUUGAAACUUUUAGUGUCUUAAUUUGUGUUUUGCUAGUAACGCUUGGAAACGUUGUAAUUGGGUUGAACUACCACGAACAAUUUGCUUCGUAUCCAAGUUGUAAAUUAAGGACGGUUCGUUAUUACUUUUAAAGCUGUUUUGCACAAUAAAACAGUUCUGCUGCACUCAGUAAGGAUCGUUCUGGUAAGCGCUUAACUUGCCAAAUGGUUUUUGUUUAGCUUGAUUAGCACUGGUACAGUAAAUUAAACCAACCGUUUUUAAGAGCUUUAACAGCUGUGGGCUGUUGGGUAGACGAUAGCUCUGUCCAUCUACAAUAAAGGUGUAAGCACCUGGUCAAAACAGUUUGGCUAGCUUUUGUAAUUGUUUGGGUAACUGGUUAAUUUGACUAGGUGCUAAAAACUGGACGUAGUGCUUGUUGGGAUCGCGUUGUUUAAUGUGGUCUAAAUCUUGUUGGCAAUAACUCAUUAAUCCUAUUUGCGUGUCGGUGGGGAUAAUGGCCGUCAUCCCCUUGUCUAGCAGUGCUUUAAUU